rnacentral:rRNA from 1 species
UACGUAGGGACCAAGCGUUGUCCGGAAUCAUUGGGCGUAAAGGGUACGCAGGCGGCUAAGCAAGUUAGAAGUUAAAGAUCAUAGCUUAACUAUGGUAUGCUUUUAAAACUGCUUAGCUUGAGUGAAGGAAGAGAAAGUGGAAUUUCUAGUGUAGCGGUGAAAUGCGUAGAUAUUGAGAAGAACACCAGUAGCGAAGGCGGCUUUCUGGACUGUAACUGACACUGAGGCACGAAAGCGUGGGUAGCAAACAGG